rnacentral:misc_RNA from 1 species
UAAUAUACUGCAGCCCUUUAUUUUGAAAUUAAGCCAAAAUUGUCCUACAUUUCACAAACAUUUGGAAACCCUAUAGCAUAAUAGCAAUCUCAAAAGAAUUCAAGAGAGUAGACCGCCACAUAUUGUGCUUGAUGUUUCACACUUGAAAAUUCAUUCAAAGACAUUCAAUGAAGAAAUACAUUCACAGAAACCUCAGGGCAACAUAAAGAAACACAACCGUUAAAAUACAGUUUUUUAAGCUCAAUUGGUCAGAUAAAUCCUACAGUUGACUAAUAUAUAUGCCAUAGUUAUUAAAGGCUCAAG